GAUGUACUCCCUCCGUCCGAAAAUACUUGUCAUCAAAAUGAACAAAAGGGGAUGUAUCUAGACGUAUUUUAGCUCUAGAUACAUCCCUUUUUAUCCAUUUUGAGACAAGUAUUUUCGGACGGAGGGAGUAUUUC
rfam:Triticum aestivum genome assembly, contig: Triticum_aestivum_CS42_TGACv1_scaffold_221847_3B